rnacentral:rRNA from 1 species
GACGAACGCUGGCGGCGUGCUUAACACAUGCAAGUCGAACGGAAAGACCCUGCUUUUGUGCGGUUCUCGAUUGCCGAACGCGUGAGUAACACGUGAGUAACCUGCCCUUGUCUUUCGGAUAACUUCACGAAACUGGGGCUAAUACCGGAUAGCAUCUCCUGCUCCAUGGUGGGGGUUGGAAAUUUUCGGCUGUUUGGGAUGGACUCGCGGCUUAUCAGCUUGUUGGUGGGGUAGUUGCUUACCGAGGCUUUGACGGGUAGGCGGCCUGUGAGGGUGAACGGCGACAAUAGGACUGAGAGACGGCGCAGACGCGAACGGGAGGCAGCAGUGGGGAAUAUUGCACAAUGAGCGGAAGCGUGAGGCAGAAGCGCCGCGUGCGGGAUGACGGCCUGCGGGUUGAAAACAGCUGUCGCCUGUGACGAAGCGUGAGUGACGGUAAUGAGUAAAGAAGCACCGGCUAACUACGUG